UAAUUCAAAACUGAACCCCACCCAGACUUCUUUCCUCAAGAUGGCCGACUCCGGAGGUCAGCCCUAGCUGACUCAGGGGAGCAAGCUGACUGAGGCCUUCAAGUACUUCCUGCAAGGCAUGGGCUACAUGGCCUCAUCCUGCAUGACUUGCCUGUCCCGACCUCGCACAGCUUCCCGGACCAGUGCAGCAUCCAUUGAUGGCAGCCAGUCCCGCUUGAACCUUGUCCCAGAGCAGCGAGUCUGGGACUCUACCUUUAGAGCCCCCAGGGCACACCAUGGAGGUCUCCUGUUGAAUGGUCCUUAUUGCCCUGGUGUGGGACCCAACCCUCACCUCCCCCAGCACUAACCUGGGAGGUACAUACAACACUGGGCCAGAGUGAGCAAGGGAAGAUGGGCAGAUCAUGUGAGGAGAUGACCUUGAUCUUUGAUCACUACCCUAACCCUGCCCUCUAACCUGUGAAACCCCUCAACUCCUGGGAGAGCUGUCUCAAUAUCUGUUAGAGACCCAGACCCCUAAAUGAUCCUUCUCCCUCAUUCUGUUGUUAAGGUGGAGAGGGCAUGCGUCCUCUUUCCUUAAUCUAGGUGUUCAUGGAUGAAGGAUAAGUGGUCAUUGUAGAUGUCCAUGAUGCCUGCCCCAGAGUCUCCCUACUCAUCCCAUUGUAAGGGUAAGGGACUUGGUGCUGGGUCUCCAUUCACCAAAGCAGAUAUGGCUUCGCAUUAACCCUUUAGAUCUCUGAAGGCUAUGGGCCUAAAUAAAUGUGUCAGGGAGGCUUGUUGGUGGGUUAGUGGUCCUCAAGAUGUGAUGGAAAUAUCCGGUGUGUGAAUGGAAGUUGGACUGGGAGGUGGUAGUCAAUGAACAAGUUUGAGGGAAGGAUUGGAGCUGGGCAACAGGAAGGGGCCUGGGGCCAUUGGCUCCACUAACUUUGGUAGCUGUCUAGAUAGUGUUUCUAGAGGGUGGGAAGGGCUACCUUGGGGCUCUGACCACUGUGUUAUGUGUGGAGGGUGCUCUCCUGUCUCCCACAACUUCUGCUGUAACAAUAAACUAUAAAGGAAUCUGAGCACCAUUAUUAUUCUGUCUCGGUAUGCCUGCAUCACGCCCCUUUCCUACCCCAUCCCUGCCCAACUCUCACAUUCUCUUCUCCAAGUGACACAAACCAUGGGAGGGAGCUUGCAUAGCAUAGACACUUCACAAAAUGUGACUUCACAGUCACUGGCCCUUAUUCAAUGGAAUGGACAAUGGUAUUGUCCUCGAUAUUGAUAAUACCUUCACAUUUCGGGAGGGGCUACUUAGAUCUUAGAAGGCUUCCUUAUCAGUUAUUGAGAAAUGCCAUGGGAUUUCAGAGA